rnacentral:lncRNA from 1 species
GACCGCUGAGGGGGCGGGACUUCGAGGUCAGGAUGGGAGGUGAGAAGGGACAGACGGAAAGGAAACAGGGCGUCGCUUCCGCCUAGCAACGAGAGUGUUGCGGGCGUCGCUAAGGAGGGGAAGCCGCCGGUUCCGGACAUGGCGGAGCAAGCGCUGGGGGUGCGUGGCCAAGGAGCCCGGAUCAGAGAGAAGCCAAACAAAUUCCUUAGCAGCACCCAGAAAACUACUACUCCUCACCAUCUGAGCCUCAAAGGACCGGAAAAGAGCCAGACACUGCACAGCAACUGGGAAGGAACUUCAUUAUUUAAAAAACAAACUGAAACUAGCUUGUCUCCAUAUAUAGAGGAGAGUCCCAGCAUUGAUGACUUAGAAGAAAGUUUGCGGAAACUUAAAGUUCAGGUGGACAGCUUGGCCUCAAGUCUGAGUUUUGACCCUCAUCAAGAUUAUGCCAUAGAUUCUAGCACUACAGUCAACUCGAGCACCUUUAAUUCUACGUGGCCAAGAGUUCAUAAUGGGACCUAUGCAGAGGCAGACAUUGGAGAUUCACCAAAGCAAUCUGCAGAGUCAGAGUGGUUUCUGAACCCAAGACAUCUGGUCAAACCACUGGGAGAAUAUCCAGCAUUAACAAGCUUAGGCCUUCCGACAUUCUCCACAUCACCCAUCAACCGUGUGCCAGGGCUCCUGGGGAGUGAGAUUGCAAGUCGGAACUAUGUGCCGUCACUGGAUCUUGCACAUACAGAGUGUUUCCCAGUGAAGCUUGGUGCUCCUCAUGUGAUUGGAGUCAGGUCAUUGUUGCCCCCUAAAAUCCCAGUGCAGGAUCGCUCUCCUGAAAGGUCUCUCUCCCUUGAUCGUUCUGGGACCAACCGAUCCCGUUCAUUCUCUCCGGCUCCCAAAAGAACCCGGUGGCUAAGAUCUCGCUCACAGUCACCUAGACCCAUCUGGAGACCAAAUUCUGCUAAGGCAAAUGCCUGUGCCCAGCCUCCACCGCACUUUGGCAGGUCUAGGUACAGCAGAAAGAAAACCGCUUCAACCAGACAAUCACGAUCCAGAAUAUACAAACCAGGAGCCCUGGCUGCCAGGUCCUGUACUCCAACCAGGAUGAAUACAAGGGGAACACUGAGCUAUUCUUGGAGCCCUUACAGUCUGCCCUCCACUGCUGUAUCCUCCCCAACCGCUCAGGAGAUUAAUGAACGGUUUUUGCAGACUCUUGCAGAAGGUGCUGUUGGGAGGUCCCUGAUAGAAAUGUCCCCGUAUCAGAAGGAGCUGGCUCGUCUCAGGCUGGAGCGCCUGCGUGUGGAGGAGGAAUGGUUAUUAGAACUAAAGAGGCAGCAAGAAUUGGAGCGAACUCGGGGUCCAAAACCAAAGUGGUAUGAGAUGAAAAACUCCCAGUUUCAUUAUGAAGCCCACAAGAAUAAUGAGUUGCUGAGGAACAGCCAGGACUUGCAGUCUGUAUAUAACUAUAGGCAGGAACUGGCAUCCAUGUCCAAGGAAUUCCAACAGCAUUUGAAACCUGCUCACCUGCACUCUCUCUAGUAAUAACAAAAAUGCACGGGAAGCGCUCUAACUAACCUGUGCUGGUAGGAGAUGUGAUCAGAGACUCCAACCUGUGAAUUCUGGGAGGCCCCUGUGCUGUGCUUAAUGAAGAGGAAACAAGAUGGCGGAGAGGGGAAUUCUUUAGACCCAAUAGCCUAUGGGCUAGUUCCACUCCAGUGCAUCUUCAGUGCUGAAGUUGGCUUAUUAUCGUAAAUAAUAACUGACUAAAUCACUAAUGCUAUUAUUGACCUCUGUGCUAAGAGCCAGCAGAAAAUCUACGUGCUGGCCUUCCGCACAGGGGGAAUUUUACCCUAUGAGGAACUAUCCCUAAUCAACUUACUUGCAGUAUAAAAGAGCCUUUUACUGAAGUGGAGGGGAAAGGAUUGAGGCAAGGGAAAAGUUAGGGGAACAAAUCUAUGGAAAGAUUAUAAUGAGGACCUCAGAAACAGCCCUAAAGCCCUAUUUGUCAAAUCCUGCAGCUGGAGAUGAUGAAAAACUCAGAAUACGGCAUUGAUUGGCUCGGACACAUUGCUAAAUAGCAUAAUGGCAUUUGUUCAACCUUUCCACUUACGGUGUCUUUUCUUUUCAACACCUGCUUCCAUCAACGUGCAGUUUUAGAGUGACGCCUUGCUCUUUUUUACAGUUUCCUUCAUUUUUUCUUUAAUCCCUUCUGUAAUUAGCUGCUGGCGAGUAGAGCAUUCUACAAGCAGCAAGCUGCCCCGGUUCAGCUGCAAACAAAAGGCGCGCGGGUUCCCACAGCUACUUACAGAUGUUCUGUCCUGCAUGAUCCCAAGGUGCAAUGCAGACAGUUCUGGAAGCCCAAACAAUGGCAGGUUGGUUUGUUUUGAAGAUUUUAGCCUGCAGUGUCCAUUAUUUCCACAGUUUACAAGCAAACAGCCCAGGGACAAUCCAUCUCUGUUCCCUAAACAAUAUAAUUAAUUCUGCUUUAAUAAAUUGCUAAUUAACCUUUUUAAUUUUCCA